UAGGGAAUCUUCGGCAAUGGGGGGAACCCUGACCGAGCAACGCCGCGUGAGUGAAGAAGGUUUUCGGAUCGUAAAGCUCUGUUGUUAAGGAAGAACGAGUGUGAGAAUGGAAAGUUCAUACUGUGACGGUACUUAACCAGAAAGGGACGGCUAACUACGUGCCAGCAGCCGCGGUAAUACGUAGGUCCCGAGCGUUGUCCGGAUUUAUUGGGCGUAAAGCGAGCGCAGGCGGUUAGAAAAGUCUGAAGUGAAAGGCAGUGGCUCAACCAUUGUAGGCUUUGGAAACUGUUUAACUUGAGUGCAGAAGGGGAGAGUGGAAUUCCAUGUGUAGCGGUGAAAUGCGUAGAUAUAUGGAGGAACACCGGUGGCGAAAGCGGCUCUCUGGUCUGCAACUGACGCUGAGGCUCGAAAGCGUGGGGAGCGAACAGGAUUAGAUACCCUGGUAGUCCACGCCGUAAACGAUGAGUGCUAGGUGUUGGGUCCUUUCCGGGGCUCAGUGCCGCAGCUAACGCAUUAAGCACUCCGCCUGGGGAGUACGACCGCAAGGUUG
rnacentral:rRNA from 1 species